rnacentral:other from 1 species
AAAUCCCUGCCCUGCGCGUUGGAGACUUAAAAUUAAUGAACCAACACUAAGUUAAAGGGAGCUGCGAUUCACUUCAUCUGUGGAUGAUUUGAGAGGGCACCCACCUGUACCCUAAGGGUUCAGUUAGAUAAAGUCCGACGGCAAUGGCGGGGAUUAA